rnacentral:rRNA from 1 species
UACGGGGGGGGCAAGCGUUGUUCGGAAUUACUGGGCGUAAAGGGCGCGUAGGCGGCCUACUAAGUCGGACGUGAAAUCCCUCGGCUCAACCGAGGAACUGCGUCCGAUACUGGCGAGGCUUGAAUUCGGGAGAGGGAUGUGGAAUUCCAGGUGUAGCGGUGAAAUGCGUAGAUAUCUGGAGGAACACCGGUGGCGAAGGCGGCAUCCUGGACCGAGAUUGACGCUGAGGCGCGAAAGCUAGGGUAGCAAACGGG